GCACCCGUGGCGGAAUUGGUAGACGCGCAAGAUUCAGGAUCUUGUGGCCAUACGGUCGUGGAGGUUCGAAUCCUCUCGGGUGCA
rnacentral:tRNA from 1 species